GUCCAGCAACUAUUUACUCAAUCGAGUAAUUCGUUAUUCUAGAGCACCACCAAGCAGAAGCUAAGUGACAAUAGUAAACGAGAAUUUAACGAUUGUCAGUUUAGAUGAUUGACAAAACGACAACCAGAGCAAGCUGUCCAGAUUUAUCAGCCGGACGUAUCAUGGAAAAAUUUUUAGAGCAAAUCAAUCAGAGGAAUAAAAAAGUGGAGAGAAACUUGAAACGCGGGUUUUAAAUAAUGUCGCGGAGGAUCCUGCCGGACGAUUAAUCCUUCCGACAACCCUUCGCUUAGUCAGUGGGUAAACUCGCAUGUCAGU